CCUCUGCCCGGAUCUCUCUGCUCAGUUGGUUGAGCAUGAGGCUCUGACUCUCAGGGUCGUGGGUUCAAGCCCCCUGCCUUGCAGGGGG